AGCGCUUUUCAAAAGCGCUCUGGUAGGGGUGUUUAAUGAGAGCGCUUUUUGUCAAAAGCGCUGGUAUAGACCAGGCUAUGAGAGCGCUUUUCAGAAGCGCUUUAGUAGCCUUUAUUACUAAAAAUUAAAAACCAAAACACGCGUUACUGUUUCUCAUUUCUCUCUUUCGUUUUCUGCAGAACCCUUCCGUCCACCACUGUUCUUCAUCCACAAACCCUCACUGCACGCGAAACCCUUCCGUCCACCACCAUCGGCAACCACCGUCGGCGUCCCUCCGUCGGCUUCUCCUCCGUCACUCGUUUUAUCCACCGCCGGUCUGACUGGAUUGAUAACUUUGGAUCUCUUUGGAGCUCGUAUCAUUGACUCUGGUACUACAUAUUUAGGAGGGUAACUUGUGUAUAGUGAAAGUUUGAUCGUUUCCCAGCCUAGUUCGACGUUUGGCGUUUUCUUGAGUUCGGUAACAUCCGAGGUUCAAUGGCUUCAGAUAGAGAUGCUCCACCUGAAAACCCACCUGAAAACUUACAAGAAAACUCACAAGAAAGAGUUGCUUCGGAUACAAAUGCUCCACCUGAUACUGAAGCAAAAGAGGUUGCACGAGGCAUCACUAUUAUGAGGAGUAUCAUACGACAUAGAGACCAAGGAUUAGUAUAUCGAUUGGAAUGGAAUUCUGAUAAACAACCAAUUGGUCCUAAUUCUGCAAAGUUGACAAGUUAUAUUGGUACACUUGUCCGUAUGCAUAUUCCGGUCUCCAUAGCUACCUGGAAAUCGAAAACGAAAAAUUUAGAAUUGGAGGAGAAAAAACAAGCGAUUUGGGAAGAG